AUUAUUUUAACUAAAGCACUGGGUUAAUGACAUUUUUACUUUUUAUUGGGUUAUCAUAACCCAUGCUGGGUUAUUGUUAAGACCCAGGUGCUGGGUUAGUGGCUGAGAGCACAAAAAAUCAUGUAAUGCACCCAGUGCCUGGGUAAUUUUAACCCAGUCAUUGGUCAUUAUAAUAUAGUCUACCAGUUGGAUUGACAAUCGCAAAGACAUGAAGACAACAGUCUUGUACCCCUGGAACAGUGUUCUAGAAUAUUUGAUUGCAACCGUUGGUCCUCCACAUCAAGCGACAAGCCGGCAGUGAAAGCUCGAAGGCAAUGUUCAGCCCCACUCAUAUUCCAGAUCCUGCCCAGUUUACAGCUGCAACACAGUGUCCCGUCCAGACCUUCCACACAGGAUCCCUCAAAGUCAAAGAUUUCCCAGAUCAGCUCCUGCAGGAUGCACAGGUAUUUUGGACAAGUUCUCUCUACUGUUGUCACUACACUACUGUAUUAUGAGCAUUGCUAGUUAAUUGUUUUUGUUAAUUGUAAUUGUUUUUUGUAAAAUGUUUUUUAGAUUUUAGUAAAAUUGUUGUUCAAAAUGAAAUGAAACAGUGUUUGAAUGAAAUGAAACAGUGUUUUUUACUUUUGUACUGUAGCCCAUUUGUGGCAAUCAAUAAAAAAUAUAAAAAUUAAUAUAAUGUAUUCUCCUAUGUCUAUUUCAGCUGAUUUUUUCAGCCCUAUUUCACCUUGAUGUACAUAAGUAAAAUAAAGUAAAGAAAUAUGUUUUUGGAAAUCCAUAAGCAAAAAAACAGAACACCCAAUAGUGGGUCAAAUAUAUAACCCAACAGAGAGGUAAAUAUGAACCAGUAAUGGGCUGGUAGGUCAUAUCCAUUUUUCUGGGUUAUUUUGACCCAUCAUGUUAGUAAGAAUGACCCAUAG